rnacentral:rRNA from 1 species
GUUCACCGCUAUUGGAGUUCGCCUAAGCCAUGCAAGUCGAGAGGGUUCGGCCCUCGGCGUACCGCUCAGUAACACGCGGAUAAUCUAACCUAUGGAGAGGGAUAAUCUCGGGAAACUGAGGCUAAUACCUCAUAGAUCAGAUAUGCUGGAAUGCUUUCUGGUCCAAAGCUGAGGCGCCAUAGGAUGAGUCUGCGGCCUAUCAGGUAGUAGUGAGUGUAACGGACUCACUAGCCGACGACGGGUACGGGCUGUGGAAGCAGUCGCCCGGAGAUGGAUUCUGAGACACGAAUCCAGGCCCUACGGGGCGCAGCAGGCGCGAAAACUUUACACUGCAGGAAACUGCGAUAAGGGAACUCCAAGUGUCUAUGCAUCGCAUAGUCUGUUUUCCUGUCCAAAAAACAGGGAGAGUAAGGGCUGGGUAAGACGGGUGCCAGCCGCCGCGGUAAUACCCGCAGCCCGAGUGGUGAACACUUUUAUUGGGCCUAAAGCGUCCGUAGCCGGUCUGGUAAAUCCUUGGGUAAAUCGUACGGCCUAACCGUACGAAGUCUGGGGAGACUGUCAGACUUGGGACCGGGAGAGGUUAGAGGUACUCCAGGGGUAGGGGUGAAAUCCUGUAAUCCUUGGAGGACCACCGGUGGCGAAGGCGUCUAACUAGAACGGAUCCGACGGUGAGGGACGAAGCCGUGGGGCACAAACCGGAUUAGAUACCCGGGUAGUCCACGGUGUAAACGCUGCGGGCUUGGUGUUGGGGGUCCUAAGGGGGCGCCCAGUGCCGGAGAGAAAUUGUUAAGCCUGCCGCCUGGGGAGUACGGUCGCAAGACUGAAACUUAAAGGAAUUGGCGGGGGAGCACCGCAACGGGAGGAGCGUGCGGUUUAAUUGGAUUCAACGCCGGGG